rnacentral:rRNA from 1 species
CCCUUAGAUGUUCUGGGCCGCACGCGCGCUACACUGAAGGGAUCAGCGUGUUUUCCCUUCCCGAGAGGGACGGGUAACCCGCUGAACCCCCUUCGUGGUAGGGAUCGGAGCUUGCAGUUGUUCUCCGUGAACCAGGAAUUCCCAGUAAGCGCAAGUCAUAAGCUUGCGUUGAUUACGUCCCUGCCCUUUGUACACACCGCCCGUCGCUACUACCGAUUGAACGUUUUAGUGAGGUAUUUGGACUGGGCCUUGGGAGGUUUCGGCCUCCCUUGUUGCUCGGAAAGACUCCCAAACUUGAGCGUUUAGAGGAAGUAAAAGUCGUAACA